rnacentral:rRNA from 1 species
GACGUAGGGCGCGAGCGUUGUCCGGAUUUAUUGGGCGUAAAGAGCUCGUAGGCGGCUUGUUGCGUCGACUGUGAAAUCCCGCGGCUCAACUGCGGGUCUGCAGUCGAUACGGGCAGGCUAGAGUUCGGUAGGGGAGACUGGAAUUCCUGGUGUAGCGGUGAAAUGCGCAGAUAUCAGGAGGAACACCGGUGGCGAAGGCGGUUCUCUGGGCAUUACCUGACGCUGAGGAGCGAAAAUGUGGGGAGCGAACAGG